UGGGGAAUAUUGCACAAUGGGCGCAAGCCUGAUGCAGCCAUGCCGCGUGUAUGAAGAAGGCCUUCGGGUUGUAAAGUACUUUCAGUCGGGAGGAAGGUGUCAAGGUUAAUAACCUUGGCAAUUGACGUUACCGACAGAAGAAGCACCGGCUAACUCCGUGCCAGCAGCCGCGGUAAUACGGAGGGUGCAAGCGUUAAUCGGAAUUACUGGGCGUAAAGCGCACGCAGGCGGUUGAUUGAGUCAGAUGUGAAAUCCCCGGGCUUAACCCGGGAAUUGCAUCUGAUACUGGUCAGCUAGAGUCUUGUAGAGGGGGGUAGAAUUCCAUGUGUAGCGGUGAAAUGCGUAGAGAUGUGGAGGAAUACCGGUGGCGAAGGCGGCCCCCUGGAUGAAGACUGACGCUCAGGUGCGAAAGCGUGGGGAGCAAACAGG
rnacentral:rRNA from 1 species